GUCCUCGUAGUGCAGUGGUUAACACGCCUGGUGUUUAUUUUCAUAUCUCGGUGAUAGCAAAAGCAGGGAAACGCCAUGUUCGAUUCUGGCCGUGGACA